UGCCCCCUGAUAAUUAUUAAAGGGCUGCAGUAAUUUGACUGUACAAAGGUAGCAUAAUCAUUAGUCAUUUAAUUGAUGACUAGUAUGAAAGAUUGAAUGAAAUAUAUACUGUCUUUAAAAUAUAGUAUAAAAUUUAAUUUUUUAAUUAAAAAGUUAAAAUAAAUAAAAAAGACGAGAAGACCCUAUAGAGUUUUAUUAUAAAUUAAAUUAUAAUUAUUUAUAAAAAUAAUAUUUAAAUUUUAUUUUUAAUUUUAUUGGGGUGAUAAAAAAAUUUAAUAAACUUUUUUAAAAAUAAACAUUAAUAAGUGAUUAAAUGAUCCAUUAUUAAUGAUUAUAAGAAAAAAUUACCUUAGGGAUAACAGCGUAAUUUUUUUUUUUAGUUCAUAUAAAAAAAAGAGUUUGCGACCUCGAUGUUGGAUUAAGAUAAAAUUUAAAUGUAGAAGUUUAAAGUUUUGA
rnacentral:rRNA from 1 species